rnacentral:rRNA from 1 species
UACGUAGGUGGCAAGCGUUGUCCGGAUUUAUUGGGUUUAAAGGGGGCGUAGGUGGCCCUGUAAGUCAGUGGUGAAAUAUCUCAGCUUAACUGAGAGGGUGCCAUUGAUACUGCAGGGCUUGAGUACAGAUGAGGUAGGCGGAAUUGACGGUGUAGCGGUGAAAUGCAUAGAUAUCGUCAAGAACACCGAUAGCGAAGGCAGCUUACCAAGCUGUAACUGACACUGAGGCACGAAAGUGUGGGGAUCAAACAGG